GAAGAGGAUGGAACCUUAGGGAGGAAGAAAAAGCAAGUUGCGAUGAUAGCUUGAAACUUGAAAGAAAAGCAAACUUGGUCGGAAGCAUUAGGCAUGUCACUCCCAUUGCCUUGUGAAACCAAGAAUUAUGUGAUCAUAUAUCAAAAUCAAGGGUCUACCUGUUAGACCAAGUCAAUCUUAUCCCAAACUAAUCUCUGCAACAAACUCUUCAUAGGAUAAGAUUGCUAGGUCCGGGUUUCAGUUUUGAAUAAUCCAAAGAUAAGUUGUUAUGAUUUUGUAUUUUUGAAUUCAAAGUUAUCCGUGUAAAUAGGGUAUUCAAAACCCUACUUGUAAUCUGAAAGUAUUGUAUAAAUACACUGCUACCCAUCGUUAUAUGGGUGUGCAAUCAAAAGCUGAAAACCCUAGUGCUCUAAGUUUAACAUGGUAUUGAGCCCUACAGUCUAAACGACAAACGAUCCAAUUUUUUUUUCCCACCCAUUGUCGCUUCCAUGGCUGCCACCAACAACACCAACAACACCAACUCCACCACUCACAUCAAUCCUUCCCCCCUACCCGCUGCUCAUUCCUCCAUCACCUCUAUGACUAGUGUGGUGAAUAUCAAACUUGACCGCUCGAAUUAUCCGCUUUGGCUUGCUCAGAUUCUGCCUGUUCUCAAGAGCCGUGACCUGAUGGGUUACGUUGAUGGCUCCAUUUUGUGUCCUCCUAAGACUCUGGCUGGCACCACUGACGUUAACCCAGCCUACAUGACUUGGAUUCAACAUGAUCAGAUGAUUCUCAGUUGGAUCAACAGCUCUCUCACUGCUUCUGUUUUGUCGACAGUAGCAAGCAAACGCACGUGCCGUGCAACCUGGGAAGCAUUGGAACAGCGGUAUGCGUCAACUUCCCAGAAUCGUAUAUUGUUUCUGCGUACAGAACUGCUGCAGACGAAGAAAGGUGACCUCUCUGUAGCUGACUACUUGGAUCGUAUGAAUGCGAUCGCCGACAACCUUGCUUUGGCCGGACAACCAGUAAGUGAUGAUGAACUGGUUCAAAUUAUUUUAAAUAACCUUGGUCCUGCGUUCGAGAUGACUGUGAAUGCAGCACAAGCUCGUGAUACUCCAAUCACUUAUCCAACACUUGAAGCUCUUCUGCUGACAACGGAGAGACGAAUGACGGAGCAAGCUGUGGUGACUGAAACUGCUCCGAUCAAUGCUUUUGUAACGUCACGAGGCCGUGGUGGUCGCUCUCGUGGCAAUGGACGUGGAGGCUCUUCGUUCAAUCGUGGUGGUGCCAUCAACAAUGGCAAUCAACGAGUUGGUAUGCCUCGUAACAACAACAAUCCACGUGGUGGUGCGCCUGCAAGUACUGGUGACCGGUGCAACCUUUCUGGAGAACGCAUCAAAUGCCAAAUUUGUGGCAAACCUGGCCAUCCGGCUCUGGACUGUUACCAGCGGAUGAAUACAGCCUAUGAAGGACGCAUCCCCACCAAUCGUCUUGCUGCCAUGGCGUCUUCUCAAGUGAUGCCUAAUAAUGGAAAUUGGCUUCUUGACACGGGUGCCAAUGCUCAUGUCACCCCAGACCUUCAGAAUCUUGCAAAUCCAAAAGAAUACACUGGUAAUGACAACAUUGGUGGAGUAGGUAAUGGUUCUCAAAUUUCCAUUGCACAUUCUGGUUCGAAUCAAAUUUCAACUAAGUCUUGCUCAUUUAACCUCCAUGACAUUUUACAUUGUCCAUCCGCAUCCACUAAUAUUAUUUCGGCACACAGAUUCACCCUAGAUAACCAUUGCUAUAUACUGAUAUUUCCUUAUUUUUUCCUUGUUAAGGACCUCAAAACCCGGAAGACGCUUUUCCGCGGGAGAUGUGAGAAUGGAUUGUAUCCAUUUCCUGGUGGCGGUGGAUUGUCCAACUAUCCUAUUUCAGUGUGUGUCGGUGUUAGAGUCUCACCCCAGAAAUGGCAUUUACGUCUUGGUCAUCCUGCUUCGUCAAUUAUUAAAUUUUUGAUUGCAAAUAACCAAGUACCAUCAUCUGGUACAAGUACUGUAACGUUUUGUGACUCUUGUCCAUUAGGCAAAAGCACUAAACUUCCCUUUACCAAGUCUGUGUCCGUGUCUUAUUGUCCAUUAGAACUUUUGCAUUCAGAUGUUUGGAGUUCACCUAUUAUUUCUAAUGAAGGUUUUCGUUAUUACGUGUUGUUUGUGGAUGACUACUCACGAUAUUCGUGGAUCUUUCCCAUGAAAAAUAAAUCUGAAGUAUUUGGAAUUUUUGUGACAUUUAAAACACAUGUUGAAAAAAUGUUUAACAAAUCUAUUAAAGCUCUUCAAUGUGAUGAAGGUGGUGAAUACAUGAGUCGCGAUUUCAAAACUUUUCUUGCUACACAUGGGAUUUCCCAACGUUUUUCGUGUCCAAAACAUCCUGAACAAAAUGGAAUUGCCGAGCGAAAGCAUCGUCAUAUAGUUGAAACUAGUGUUACAAUGCUUUCUCAUGCUCAUAUGCCUCAAACAUUUUGGUUCGAUGCAUGUUCCACAGCUGUUUAUAUUAUAAACAGGCUUCCAACAAAGGUUUUAUCUAACGUGUCUCCCUAUGAAAAAGUGUUUCAAAAGAAUCCAAAAUAUGAGGCAUUUAAAGUGUUUGGUUCAAAAAUGUUUUCCACUGUUGACUCCGUAUACACGGCAUAAACUUCAACCAAAGUCCAAACCAUGUGUUUUUUAGGAUAUUCACUGAAUCAUGAAGGAUACAAGUGCUUGGACUUAUCCACGAGACGCAUCUACGUGUCUCGCCAUGUUUUAUUUGAUGAGGAUUCCUUUCCUUUCAAGGAACUUGCAUCUCCCAAGGAAGCCGUCACUAUCACAGGUACAUCGUUGACCCCUGAUUUGAUUUUAACCACUACACCCUCAUCACCCUUAGUACCAUCCAUAUCUUCACCAAAUCGUGUCGAGUCUCAUCCUAGCCUCAACCACCAACCUGAGUCAAACUUGGUGUCUACUGAUCAGCCGCAUAUCACGCCACCUUUUCCUCCCCAACAACCUGUUUCAAAUUUGGACCUUACUCCUCAUCCACCUAUCCCUACCAUCCCGUGUUUAAAUAGGACACCUCAACCUAGUUCCACAUUAGGUCCCACCGAUGAGCAAGACUUGGUUCACCUUCCAUCUGUACAAAGUUCUCAGAAUCCUUCUCAUUCAACAACUUUAUCUACCACCUCAUCUUCCAUACGAGAGCCUACUCUCCCCCACUCCAUAACAAACAAGGUCAAAAUCUGGGAUUCAAAAGCCAAAUCCAAAAUAUGCUUUGCAUGCAAUCGCUGACUCCAAGUUUGUUGAGCCGUCUUGUUUUAGUCAGGCUAUCAAAUAUCCAGAAUGGAGGGCAGCAAUGGCACAAGAGUUCAGUGCUUUGCAAAGGUGUGGAACGUGGACGCUUGUUCCAUAUUGUCCUGGGAUGAACCUGCUGCCAAACAAAUGGGUGUUUUUAAAAUCAAGAGACGUGCCGAUGGUUCUCUCGAACGUCACAAGGCUCGACUUGUGGCUAACGGUUACCAUCAGCAAUCCGGAGUGGAUUUAUAAUGAAACGUUUAGUCCGGUCGUGAAACACAGCACCAUUCGGCUUGUUUUGAGUCUUGCAGUGUCGAAGAAGUGGACGGUGCGACAGUUGGAUGUACAGAAUGCAUUCUUGCAUGGCUAUUUGGAUGAGGCUGUCUACAUGAAACAGCCGCCCGGUUUUCUUGAUCAGCAGUAUCCCCAUUAUGUGUGUAAAUUGCAGAGAAGUUUGUAUGGAUUAAAACAGGCUCCCAGAGCCUGGUUUCGAAGAUUCUCGGAUUAUCUGCUUCAACUUGGGUUUGAAGAAUCAUUAUGUGAUUAUUCAUUGUUCGUGUUUAAUCAACGAGGUGUUUACUUGAUCUUACUUAUCUAUGUGGAUGACAUUCUUCUUACAGGCAAUAAUGAUCAACAAAUGCAAUGGUUGAUAGAGAAGCUCGGCACUUUGUUUUCUAUGAAGGACUUAGGUCCCUUAAGUUAUUUUUUGGGUGUCGAGGUUACUUAUUCUGGGGGAGAAUAUGCAUCUUACACAAUCCAAGUAUGCAUUGGAUCUGCUGGAGCGCACCAAGUUUACUGCUGUCAAACCAGUAUCCACUCCUGUACCUGCGGGACACAAGAUCAGUCAGUAUGAUGGUGAACCUUAUUCUAAUCCAGAACAAUAUCGAACGGUUGUUGGAGCGCUCCAAUACUUGACGAUCACCAGACCCGAUCUUUCUUAUGCUGUGAACCAGGUUUGCCAGUUCAUGCAUAUGCCUCGGACUACACAUUGGAUGGCGGUUAAGAGGGAUUUUGCGGUAUUUAAAGGCCACACAUGAUCACGGUCUUGUCUACAAACCUGGUGAUGUUCGGUUAAAUGCCUUCUCUGAUGCUGAUUAUGCGGGAAAUCCGGACACACGUCAUUCAACUGGUGGCUUCUGUAUCUAUUUGGGCACGAAUUUGAUUUCCUGGAGUUCAAAGAAACAGAAGACUGUCUCAAGAUCUAGCACAGAGGCUGAGUAUAGGCAGCUUGCUUAUACUGCAGCUGAGUUGUCAUGGUUAGGAAGUUUGUUUCGUGAUCUACAUCUCUAUCUUCCACGACCGCAUAUAUGGUGUGAUAAUGUUUCGUCCAUUGCUUUGGCUUCCAAUCCAGUUUUUCAUGCCCGGACGAAACACUUGGAAGUGGACUACCAUUAUGUACGAGAGAAGGUGGUCCGUGGACAGCUUUUGGUUCAUUUUAUUUGUUCCCAAGACCAGAUUUGCCGAUUUGUUCACCAAGGGUCUUUCCUCUUCACGCUUCAACUUGUUAGUUUCCAAGCUUCCCGUCGUUGCUCGACCUGUCAGCUUGCGGGGGGAUGUUAGACCAAGUCAAUCUUAUCCCAAACUAAUCUCUGCAACAAACUCUUCAUAGGAUAAGAUUGCUAGGUCCGGGUUUCAGUUUUGAAUAAUCCAAAGAUAAGUUGUUAUGAUUUUGUAUUUUUGAAUUCAAAGUUAUCCGUGUAAAUAGGGUAUUCAAAACCCUACUUGUAAUCUGAAAGUAUUGUAUAAAUACACUGCUACCCAUCGUUAUAUGGGUGUGCAAUCAAAAGCUGAAAACCCUAGUGCUCUAAGUUUAACACUACCAAGGUCUAGAUGUGUCAAAAUUAUUCAUGGACCACAUCCACAUAUGGAUGAUAACUGAUAAGAUCAAUCGUACAAGUAUAA
rnacentral:lncRNA from 1 species